rnacentral:rRNA from 1 species
UACAGAGGGGGCAAGCGUUGUUCGGAAUUACUGGGCGUAAAGGGCGCGUAGGUGGCCUUCUAAGUUGAACGUGAAAUCCCUGGGCUCAACCCAGGAACUGCGUCCAAGACUGGGAGGCUUGAAUCCGGGAGAGGGUAGUGGAAUUCCCGGUGUAGUGGUGAAAUGCGUAGAUAUCGGGAGGAACACCGGUGGCGAAGGCGGCUCUCUGGACCGAGACUGACGCUGAGGCGCGAAAGCGUGGGGAGCAAACAGG